GUGCUCUGGAGCCCAAGAACUACAACUACUGAGCCCACGCGCUGCAACUCCUGAAGCCCACUUGCCCUAAAGUCUGUGCUCCACAAAAAGAGAAGCCACCGCAAUGAGAAACCAGUGCACCGCAACUAGAGAAAAGCCCAUGCAGCAGUGAAGACCAAGACUAGCCAUAAAUAAAUAAAAAUGUUUUUAGAAAGAACUACUCAGGAUCUGAAAUGGAAACAGACCCAGAGAGAAGUGGGAUACAGGAGGCCCAAGUUCGAUUCCUGGUCAGGGAACUAGACCACACGCCGCAACUAAGACCUGGUGUAGUCAAAUAAAAUCUGUCACUGUCUGUGUCCCUCCUCCCAGAGCACAG
ensembl:lncRNA